AAUAAGUUUAUUUGUGGGUUUAUGUGUCUAACGUUUGAUUGUCCGUCUUAUUUAAAUUUUUUUUAUGAUUGGUAUUUUUGUUGUUAUUAGAUGAUAAAACAUGAAUAGUACUUUAUGCGUGACUUACCUUUUUUUAAAAUCUUUUCAUAAUUUUUUUAAAUAAGAUAGAUAGUCAAACGUUGAACACAAAAACCCACAAAUGAACUUAUU
rfam:Oryza glaberrima chromosome 6 Oglab06_0233_6, whole genome shotgun sequence.